UAGGGAAUAUUGGACAAUGGGGGCAACCCUGAUCCAGCCAUGCCGCGUGAGUGAAGAAGGCCCUCGGGUUGUAAAGCUCUUUUGUCCGGAAAGAAAAGCAUUCGGUGAAUACCCGGAUGUUCUGACGGUACCGGAAGAAUAAGCACCGGCUAACUUCGUGCCAGCAGCCGCGGUAAUACGAAGGGUGCAAGCGUUACUCGGAAUUACUGGGCGUAAAGCGUGCGUAGGUGGUUGUUUAAGUCUGAUGUGAAAGCCCUGGGCUCAACCUGGGAAUGGCAUUGGAAACUGGGCAGCUAGAGUGCGGUAGAGGGUAGUGGAAUUCCGGGUGUAGCAGUGGAAUGCGUAGAGAUCGGGAGGAACAUCUGUGGCGAAGGCGACUGCCUGGACCAGCACUGACACUGAGGCACGAAAGCGUGGGGAGCAAACA
rnacentral:rRNA from 1 species